GACGAACGCUGGCGGCGUGCUUAACACAUGCAAGUCGAACGGAAAGGCCCUGCUUUUGUGGGGUGCUCGAGAGGCGAACGGGUGAGUAACACGUGAGUAACCUGCCCUUGACUUUGGGAUAACUUCAGGAAACUGGGGCUAAUACCGGAUAGGAGCUCCUGCUGCAUGGUGGGGGUUGGAAAGUUUCGGCGGUUGGGGAUGGACUCGCGGCUUAUCAGCUUGUUGGUGGGGUAGUGGCUUACCAAGGCUUUGACGGGUAGCCGGCCUGAGGGGGUGACCGGCAACAUUGGGACUGAGAUACGGCCCAGACUCCUACGGGAGGAAGCAGGGGGGAAUAUUGCACAAGGGGCGGAAGCCUGAGGCAGCAACGCCGCGUGCGGGAGGACGGCCUUCGGGUUGUAAACCGCUUUCGCCUGUGACGAAGCGUGAGUGACGGUAAGGGGUAAAGAAGCACCGGCUAACUACGU
rnacentral:rRNA from 1 species